rnacentral:rRNA from 1 species
AGUGAACGCUGGCGGUAGGCCUAACACAUGCAAGUCGAACGGCAGCACAGUAAGAGCUUGCUCUUACGGGUGGCGAGUGGCGGUCGGGUGAGGAAUACAUCGGAAUCUACUUUUUCGUGGGGGAUAACGUAGGGAAACUUAUGCUAAUACCUCAUACGACCUACCGGUGAAAGCAGGGGAUCUUCGUACCUUGCGCGAUUGAAUGAGCCGAUGUCGGAUUAGCUAGUUGGCGGGGUAAAGGCCCACCAAGGCGACGAUCCGUAGCUGGUCUGAGAGGAUGAUCAGCCACACUGGAACUGAGACACGGUCCAGACUCCUACGGGAGGCAGCAGUGGGGAAUAUUGGACAAUGGGCGCAAGCCUGAUCCAGCCAUACCGCGUGGGUGAAGAAGGCCUUCGGGUUGUAAAGCCCUUUUGUUGGGAAAGAAAAGCAGCAGGUUAAUACCCCGCUGUUCUGACGGUACCCAAAGAAUAAGCACCGGCUAACUUCGUG